rnacentral:rRNA from 1 species
GGCGGAUUGCGCGCGACGGGCGCGGUAAUACGCAGCGACGCCGCGUGCGGGAUGAAGGCCUUCGGGUUGUAAACCGCUUUUGAUUGGGAGCAAGCCUUCGGGUGAGUGUACCUUUCGAAUAAGCGCCGGCUAACUACGUGCCAGCAGCCGCGGUAAUACA